rnacentral:rRNA from 1 species
GUCCUUUAGAUAUUAAUUUAAGGUCUAACCUGCCCACUGAAUUAUUUUUAAAUGGCCGCAGUAAUUUGACUGUGCAAAGGUAGCAUAAUCAUUAGUUUUUUAAUUAAAAGCUUGUAUGAAAGGUUGGACGAAGUAAAAUCUGUCUCUAAUUAAAUUAAUUUAGAAUUUAACUUUUAAGUUAAAAGGCUUAAAUUUAACUAAAAGACGAGAAGACCCUAUAGAUCUUUAUAUCUUAAUUAUUAGAUUUAAUUAUGAAUUUUUUAAAUUUUAUUAAUAAAGUUAUUUUAUUGGGGUAAUAUAAAGAUUAAAAUAAUUCUUUUUUUUUAUUUACAUUAAUUUAUGAGUUUUAUGAUCCAAUUUUAUUGAUUAAAAGAUUAAGUUACCUUAGGGAUAACAGCGUAAUUUUUUUAGAGAGUUCUUAUCGAUAAAAAAGUUUGCGACCUCGAUGUUGGAUUAAAGAUUAUUUUAGGUGCAGAAGUUUAAAAAUUUUGGUCUGUUCGACCAUUAAAUCUUUACAUGAUCUGAGUUCAGACCGGUGUAAGCCAGGUCGGUUUCUAUCUUUAGUAAAUUAAAAUAUUUUAGUACGAAAGGACCAAUUAUUUGAUAUAUUAAUAUUUAUAAUUUUUGUUUAUUAUUAAA